rnacentral:rRNA from 1 species
UACGUAGGGGGCAAGCAUUGUCCGGAAUCAUUGGGCGUAAAGAGCGUGUAGGCGGUCCGGUAAGUCCGCUGUAAAAGUCAAGGGCUCAACCCUUGAGAGCCGGUGGAUACUGCCGGGCUAGAGUCCGGAAGAGGCGAGUGGAACUCCUGGUGUAGCGGUGAAAUGCGCAGAUAUCGUUUGGAACGCCGAUGGUGAAAACAGGUCGCUGGGGUUGUGCUGACGCUGAGACACGAAAGCCAGGGGAGCGAACGGG